rnacentral:rRNA from 1 species
UCAGACGAUGCGUCAUGCAUAUCAAUAAGCGGAGGAAAAGAAACUAACAAGGAUUCCCCUAGUAACGGCGAGUGAAGCGGGAAGAGCUCAAAUUUGAAAUCUUAAAGGGUUUCCCUUUACGAAUUGUAGUUUAAAGAAGUGUUUUCUGUUGAGGUUUUGGUAAAAGUUCUUUGGAAUAGGACAUCAUAGAGGGUGAGAAUCCCGUAUUUGACCUUUACUUUCAACUUUGUGAUACACUUUCAAAGAGUCGGAUUGUUUGGGAAUGCAGUCCAAAAUGGGUGGUAAAUUUCAUCUAAAGCUAAAUAUUGGCGAGAGACCGAUAGCGAACAAGUACCGUGAGGGAAAGAUGAAAAGAACUUUGAAAAGAGAGUUAAACAGUACGUGAAAUUGUCAAAAGGGAAGCGUUUGAUACCAGUGUUGUUUUUCUGAAAAUCAAUUAAAGAACUGUUUAUGCUAAGCUGUUUAGACUUUAUCAGCUAUCUGUUUAGUUUUGAGCUUUUCUUUAAUGCACUUUUCAGUUAACAAGUCAACAUCAAUUUCUUUUGCUGUAAAAAAGCUUGAGGAAGGUGGCUUGAGAUUCGUCUUAAGUGUUUAUAGCCUCUUGCCUAUGCAGUCGGAGAGAUUGAGGUCUGCAGCGUAGAUCCUUCGGGGCUAAAUGCAUUUGUGCUAAGUUAUAGCAUUUUAUAGACAACUUGUUGACUAUGAUUUGUCUUGUAGCUUACUCGCUUAUGUUAUUUUACCUACGCUUAGGAUGUUGACACACGCGCGUGCUCG